ACCCUUUCGAUAACGGAGCAAAGAAAUACAAAAAACAAGCACCUGACGACUGGUACUUUAAAAUCAAUAAUGUUCAUCUACUGCACAUAUUAUGUCACCCCUGUAUCUGUAACAGCAGAUGAUGUUGCAGCUUUUCUUUGUUAUUAUGUCUUCAAAUAUUAAUUUUUCUAUAUGUGUCAUGAAAAUGUUGGCUAAUGUUCCUGAGAUAGCUGACACCAUGGGGAUGCAACUGCACAUACUUUCUACAUCAAAGAAGAGCAAUCUUGGAGUGUCAGGGAUUUUAGUGCCUAUUAUAUGUUCUACCAGUUGAGCGGGUAUUUCUGAUUGUUCUAUCAUAUUCUAGUUU